UCUUCACCAAACUUGCUGACAAUGUUUGUGGGCAUAAUAUCGCGACCAAGUUUGAUGACCAGCCAAAUCGACCCAGGCACUCUUGGAUUAUGGCCCUUGAAUUGAUAGGCGUAUUUUGUGACAGUAUCCACUCUUGUUGUUUUAUAUGAUUGUGAAACAGUCUUUGAUUAAAAAAUAGAUGGAAACUUUUGUAUGUAGAGACUAGUUGCAUUGUAAAAUUAUUGGAGUUACUUAAUGAAUGGAAUGAUUAAUUCUUUAUCUAAAUCUUUUUAAAGUUUCACUUAUUUCUACAUAAUAAACGAAUACAUGUUGCAAGAGAAAUAAUCUUUUCAUCAACAAAAGUUGGUAUUACAAGAAAAGGGGACAGACUAUAUAAUAAACACAAGCUUACAAAUAUUACAUUACAUGUAGGUCUAUUUCUAUAGGAAGAUAAUGUUUUCCUUUCUAAAUUAUAGCAAUUACCAUGUGUAUAUAUAUAUUUGAUAGACUAUUGUAGAUGUAUGGUAUGUUCACCUUAUGUAAUUUGUAUUAUAUAUUAACUGUUUUGAGUUUUACCAGUUAUGUUUAUGUUGAUUGCUUGUGAACAGAAUACAAAAUAAUUUAAUGCUGUUUUGAUCGUAACCUUGUUACAAUGACACGUUAUUUGCUCACAUGAGAGCACAAAAUGCUCAAGUGAGCAUUUGUGAUCGUCCUGUGCCCGUCGUCAAAUAAUAAAAAACCUUGUGACCUCUCUAGAGGCCAUAUUUUUCAAUGGAUCUUCAUGAAAAGUGGUCAGAAUUUUUUUCUUGAUGAUAUCUCAGGUUCAAAACUGGGUCACAUGAGCUCAAAAACUAAGUCACUGUGUGAAAUAAUAGAAAAAACGAUGUCAUACUCAGUUCAAAACUGGGUCAUGUGGGGACAGGUGAUCGAUUCAGGACCAUCAUGGUCCUCUUGUUAUUUUAUAAUGUUCCCAGAAAUUGUUUGCAUCUAUAGAAUUUGAAACUCUAUUAUUUCAGGUCAAAAAUAGGUCACUAUGUCAAAUCAUAGACAAACCAAAUUAAGACAGUACAAGCUAUAUUUUCUACCUGAAUUUCAUAAACCAUUUGCUGGAAUGUUUGCACUAUGAAAUAAAAGUCGAUUUCAGGACUGGGUUACACGAAAUCUUAAACAGGAUUGCACUUUAUAUUUAUCUAUGUAAUUACUUGAUUGAUUUGUUUCAAACUUGUUAUAAUAGUUAUUCCACAUCAUCACCUACAUCAUAUGGCUCAAGGGCUCUCAAACACUCAUAUCAAUAUUUCAUGAAUUAUUCCCCACCUUUUACUUCAGAUUUCAGCAGCAAGUUUUCAUGAAUCCGUAGAAUUUUAUAUCGAGAGGAUUUGAUUCAAACUAAAAAUAGUUAUUCCACAUCAUCACUCACAAUAUGAUACAAGGGUCAUAACUCUUGCACCUUUGUUAAUGGAUUAUCUCCCCUUUUAAAUUAGAAUGAAAGGCAAUGUUGUUUUGAUGUUAAUUUUAUCUGCUGGGAUUUCUUAAAUCAUUUAAAGAAGUGAAAGAAUUUUCAAAUGAAAAAGUUAUCAGCAUUUAAAUAUUUGGUCAAAAUGGCAGCCAUUUUGUUUUCAUUUAUUUAUUUAUUUACAUUUAGGUCACAGCAUAAAAGAACACAUUACAAUACAUAAAUAUCACAGACAUGUCAUUCAUAAAACAUACUUUCUAUGAUUACAAAUGCUGAAAAAACUAAAGCAAUGUUCAUUUCACCUUCAAACCACACAUAUAAUACUAUCAAAGACUCAAAUAUUUCUCUCAAAGAUAAAACUAUACAAACUUCAACCACAGAAAAACUCCUGGGAGUUCAUAUUGAUCAUACCCUUAACUGGAAAAUGCAUGUUCAAAUGACACUGAAUAAAUGCAACUCCUUAUUAUAUUUGCUUAUGAGAAUUAAACAAUUUUUAAAUCUCCAUACUAGAAAAAUGUUCUUCAAUGCAUACAUUCUUCCUCAUCUAGAUUACUGUUGCACUAUUUGGGGAAACUGUAACACUGAGCUUUUGAAUGACAUGUACAAAUUCCAAAAACGUGCAGCUCGUGUUAUUUUAGAUAAAGACAUUGACACACCAACAGACGAUUUAUUUAUUCAACUUAACUGGAUGAAAUUUCAAGAUAGAGUUAAUUAUAAAAAAGCCAUAUUAGUAUACAAAUCUCUUAACAACCUUCUCCCUAGUUACAUGAAGCAACUAUUUACGUAUACUGAAAAUAGGUCAUUGAGAUCAUAUGAUCAAAGACUACUUUUAGUUCCAAAACCUCGACUUGAAUUCUAUAGAAAAUCACUGGCAUACUCUGGUGCAAAAUUAUGGAACUCACUUCCUUAUCAUAUAAGAACAUCAACAAACCUGAACACAUUCAAAAGCAAUUAUUUAAAAUGGUGGUUCUCUAGUGGGCAACAACAUCUAUCAACCGCAUGAGAACUAUGAUAUUUUUUGGUAUCAGAGUACUUAUUUAAAACUAUAAAUAAUUAACAAAUAAUUGUAUAUUGUUUGUUUCAUUACUUUUGCUUUCAGUGUAACUUUACAUAAAACCAUGUUGUUUAUUCUAUUACCUUCCUUAUGUAAAUUUCAUGUAAUCCUCUUAUAUAUGCUAUUUUGCAUUAUAAUCCCUUCAUGACUUUGUUUACUUUAAUUUGUUAAUUUGUGUUUACUGUAUAUAUGUACAUUUGAGGCUCACAGGGAAGACUGGGUACACCCAACUGUGUUGCCUCGUUAAAUAAAGACUUUAUUAUUAUUAUUAUUAUUAUUUCUAAAAAGAAAUCUCAAUGCUUUACAUUAAAUAGCACAGUAUCACAAUUUGCAUACUUUCAAUAAGAUAAUACCAAAUGUCAUUACUAAAAAUUACAGGUGUUAUUAAAAUGCUAGGGACCUAUGGAUAACCCAUUAAGCUAAGAGCUUAUUUCCAAUGGGGUCCAUUUUACACAUAAAAUGAUGUAGGACAGAUUACUGGGGGUCAAGACUUAGGUGGAAAACGGAAUUAUUAAAAGUAUGCUUAAAAAAUAAUAUCACAGACACAUGUAUUCCAACAGAGAUCAAUAGUGUACAAAAUCACUGUUACAUUCUGCUACUAGAUUUUUAUUAGAAGCUCUUUGGCCCUAGAUUUGUACCUCUGAAAACUUUCAAUUAAUUUAAUGUUUCUAGGUAAGGAAUUCCAAUCCUUUAUCUCGGCGAUAUAUGACCUUUUUGUGUCGAUUCGCCGUAAUACCCAACUCAUUCAUUCCAAUCCUUUAUACCGCUGUAAUAAAAAGUCUGUUUACUUAUACUGUUGACACUAGGUACAGUAAAAUUACAUUCACUAGAUCUUGUAUUAUGUUUUAUACUGUCGCACUUUCGUACAAAAUUAUCAUCUAAAUAAGGUGGACAUUUGUUGUGAAAUAUUCUAUACAUGUGACUUAAUCUUAGUUGUGUAACUCUAUUUCUAACAUUCAACAUGUUCAAUUCAACAAAAUCUUCACUUGUAAUAGACUCUCUAGGCAACAAAAACAAAAUAGCAGAUUUAUUAUAUUUCUAUGCACAGUUUUGAAUUGCAUAUACUUAUUAUUGUAAAAUAACUUAUUUUUAUACGCCCGUAUCUGAAAGAGCGGGGAGUAUUAUGUGAACACCCUUGGCGGGCAGGCAGCAUCCAAAAGCAUGCCCAUUCUCUAAGUCGAACAGUUCUCAUCCAAUCUUUACCAAACUUGCUGACAAUGUUUGUGAGUAUUAUGUCUCGGCCAAUUUCGAUAACCUACCAAAUUGCCCUAGGCUCUCUAGAAUUGUGACCCUUGAAUUACUCGAAAAACUACCAAUUUAGCCUUGUGCGCUUUCUUAGUUGAAUAGUUUUCGUCAGAUCUUCACCAAAUUGCUGACAUUUUGUGCAGAAUAUCUCUGCCAAGUUCGAUAACCACCAAAAUCACUCUUGGAUUGUGGCCCUUGAUUUAUUCGAAAAACUGCGAAUUUAGCCUUGUCCGCCCUCUAAGUCAGUUUCCAUCCGAUCUUCACCAGACUUGACAACAAUGGUUUUGGGCAUAAUACUGGUAUAUCCCGGCCAAGUUUGAUAGCCGCACAAGUGACGCCUGACACUCUUGGAUCAUGACCCUUGAAGUUACAUAACUGAAUAUUUCGACGGGCGUAUUUUGUGACAGCCUGGCACUCUUGUUUUUCUUUGGCAUAAAAUGUUCACUUCUAUAAGACGGAAACCUCGGGCUUAUCUCAAAGGUCAAGGUCACACUUUGUGGGUCAAAGGUCAUUGUAGAGCUUGUGUCAUGCAUAUUUAAGCAAUCUGUUUUAUACGCUCGUUUGAAAAACGCGACGUAUUAUGGAAAGUUUGUGGACGCCGACCACCCGCCCACCAGGGGCGGGGUGGUCGGCGUCCACAAACUUUGUCUGGAGAGUAUCUUCUUUAUGCAUUGAGGGAUUUUAAUGUGACUUGGUACAGACGUUUACCAACAUGAGACGGAGUGUCAAGCAUAAGAACCAGGUCCCUAGGUCUAACGUCAAGGUCUCACUUAGAGGUCAGAGGUCAAAUUCAAUAAAGACUUUGUCCUGAGCAUUUCUUCUUCAUGCAUGAAAUUUUUUUUGUUUCGCACAGUUAUGAGACAGUGUGACAUGCCAUAAAACAGGUCCCUAGGUCUAAGGUCAAGGUCACACUUAUAGGUCAAAGGAUACAAGAACAAAAAC
rnacentral:lncRNA from 1 species